AUUAAAAUCAGACUGUUUCGGAAUGGAAAU
rnacentral:other from 1 species